CCCUUAGACGUUCUGGGCCGCACGCGCGCUACACUGUUCGACGCAGCGAGUCUUAACCUUGACCGAAAGGUUUGGGUAAUCUUCAGCAAAGUCGAACGUGAUGGGGAUCGAUCAUUGCAAUUAUUGAUCGUGAACGAGGAAUUCCUAGUAAGUGCAAGUCAUCAGCUUGCGCUGAUUACGUCCCUGCCCUUUGUACACACCGCCCGUCGCUACUACCGAUUGAAUGGUUUAGUGAGAUCUCUGGAUUGACGCUGGCUAGGGGGCGACCCUUGGCCAGGCUGUCGAGAAACUGCUCAAACUUGAUCAUUUAGAGGAAGUAAAAGUCGUAACA
rnacentral:rRNA from 1 species